rnacentral:rRNA from 2 species
ACGGAAGGCAGCAGUGGGGGAUAUUGCACAAUGGGGGGAACCCUGAUGCAGCGACGCCGCGUGAGUGAAGAAGUAUUUCGGUAUGUAAAGCUCAAUCCGCAGGGAAGAAAAUGACGGUACCUGCACCGAAGCCCCGGCUAACUACGUGCCAGCAGCCGCGGUAAUACGUAGGGGGCAAGCGUUAUCCGGAUUUACUGGGUGUAAAGGGAGCGUAGACGGAAUGGCAAGUCAGAAGUGAAAUUUACGGGCUUAACUCGUGAACUGCUUUUGAAACUGUCAAUCUAGAGUACCGGAGGGGUAAGCGGAAUUCCCAGUGUAGCGGUGAAAUGCGUAGAUAUUGGGAAGAACACCGGUGGCGAAGGCGGCUUACUGGACGGUAACUGACGUUGAGGCUCGAAAGCGUGGGGAGCAAACAGGAUUAGAUACCCUGGUA